rnacentral:lncRNA from 12 species
GCUUUCUCUCGCACCGCAGCCUUUGUGCGGGUGUCAAAGGAGCAUCCCUCUCAUCUCUCAGAUUGAUGGCACCGUCUAGGACUUCCAGCAUAGACAAGAUAAACGAAAGGCUUCUGCAGACAGCACAGACCCCUGACACUCCUGACUGACAUCAGAAAGGGCCCAGGAAAAGAAAACAAUGGUGAGAGAGAGAUACAGCACACACACUUGAGGGAGAGGACAGCAGAAGAGACCCUGCAGUUGCUGCCAAGGUGAGCCUCUUGCCAUGUGCUCCUUCCUGCAGUGUUUUACCUCCAGUGACUGCAGACCCCCUUGAGGUGCCCA